UACGUAGGGACCAAGCGUUGUUCGGAUUUACUGGGCGUAAAGGGCGCGUAGGCGGCGUGGUAAGUCACUUGUGAAAUCUCUGAGCUUAACUCAGAACUGCCAAGUGAUACUGCUGUGCUUGAGUGUGGAAGGGGCAAUCGGAAUUCUUGGUGUAGCGGUGAAAUGCGUAGAUAUCAAGAGGAACACCUGAGGUGAAGACGGGUUGCUGGGCCAACACUGACGCUGAGGCGCGAAAGCCAGGGGAGCAAACGGGAUUAGAUACCCUGUAGUCC
rnacentral:rRNA from 1 species